AACGAACGCUGGCGGCAGGCUUAACACAUGCAAGUCGAGCGCCCCGCAAGGGGAGCGGCAGACGGGUGAGUAACGCGUGGGAAUCUACCCAUCUCUACGGAAUAACGCAUGGAAACGUGUGCUAAUACCGUAUACGUCCUUCGGGAGCAAGAUUUAUCGGAGAUGGAUGGGCCCGCGUUGGAUUAGCUAGUUUGUGGGGUAAAGGCCUACCAAGGCGACGAUCCAUAGCUGGUCUGAGAGGAUGAUCAGCCACACUGGGACUGAGACACGGCCCAGACUCCUACGGGAGGCAGCAGUGGGGAAUAUUGGACAAUGGGCGCAAGCCUGAUCCAGCCAUGCCGCGUGAGUGAUGAAGGCCCUAGGGUUGUAAAGCUCUUUCGCCGGUGAAGAUAAUGACGGUAACCGGAGAAGAAGCCCCGGCUAACUUCGUGCCAGCAGCCGCCGUAAAAC
rnacentral:rRNA from 1 species